rnacentral:rRNA from 1 species
UGGUGGAGCGAUUUGUCUGGUUAAUUCCGAUAACGAACGAGAUUCUGGCCUAUUAAAUAGUUCGCCGAUUCCGAUCUGUCGGCGUUAACUUCUUAGAGGGACAAGUGGCUUUUAGCCACGCGAGAUUGAGCAAUAACA